CGGUACUUCCAGAAAGAAGGCCCGGCCCAACUACGUGCCAGCAGCCGGCGGUAAUACGUAGGGCCCAAACUUUGUCCGAAUUUAUUGGGCGUAAAGGGCUCGUAGGCGGUUCAACAAGUCGGUCGUGAAAGCCCGGGGCUCAACCCCGGGACGCCGGUCGAAACUGUUGUGACUAGGGUCCGGUAGAGGUGAGUGGAAUUCUCGGUGUAGCGGUGGAAUGCGCAGAUAUCGAGAGGAACACCAGUAGCGAAGGCGGCUCACUGGGCCGGUACCGACGCUGAGGAGCGAAAGCAUGGGGAGCAAACAGGAUUAGAUACCCUGGUAGUCCAUGCCGUAAACGAUGAACACUAGGUGUGGCGGACUCAUUGACGUCUGCCGUGCCGAAGCUAACGCAUUAAGUGUUCCGCCUGGGGAGUACGGCCGCAAGGCUAAAACUCAAAUGAA
rnacentral:rRNA from 1 species